GCGGCGAAAGGGUGAGUAACACGUAACCAACGUACCCCUCAGAUCGGGAUAACCACUGGAAACGGUGGAUAAUACUGAAUGGUCCUAGGAAGGACAUCCUUCCGAAGGUAAACGGCGGCUUCGGCUGCUGUUGAGGGAGCGGGUUGCGUCCUAUCAGCUUGUUGGUGAGGUAACGGCUCACCAAGGCUAUGACGGGUAGCGGGUCUGAGAGGAUGAUCCGCCACACUGGGACUGAGACACUGCCCAGACUCCUACGGGAGGCUGCAGUCGAGAAUCUUCCACAAUGGGCGAAAGCCUGAUGGAGCGACGCUGCGUGUAGGAUGAAGGCCUUAGGGUUGUAAACUACUGUCACGCUAUAGGAACCCGUGUAGGUUAAUAGCCUGCGCGCUGACCAAAGCGAGAGGAAGUGCCGGCUAACUCCGUGCCAGCAGCCGCGGUAAGACGGAGGGCGCAAGCGUUGUUCGGAAUCACUGGGCAUAAAGGGCGCGUAGGCGGCCAGUUCAGUCGGAUGUGAAAUCCCCCGGCCCAACCGGGGAACUGCAUUCGAUACUGACUGGCUAGAGGAUGGUAGGAGCCAAUGGAACUCCAGGUGGAACGGUGAAAUGUAUAGAUAUCUGGAGGAACACCGGUGGCGAAAGCGAUUGGCUGGGCCAUUUCUGACGCUGAGGCGCGAAAGCUAGGGGAGCGAACGGGAUUAGAUACCCCGGUAGUCCUAGCCGUAAACGAUGGGUACUGGG
rnacentral:rRNA from 1 species